rnacentral:rRNA from 1 species
CCUCGGGUGGCAUCAUUUCUUCCUCUUUUUCCCUUUUCGUCCUCCUGCCCCCGCCCAGUCGCGUGCGGGAAUAAGGCCCUACGGGUCGUAAACCUCUUUUGCCGGGGAGCAAGGGCGGGGACGUGUCCCGGCCCGGAGAGUACCCGGAGAAAAAGCAUCGGCUAACUCCGUGCCAGCAGCCGCGGUAAUACGGAGGAUGCGAGCGUUAUCCGGAUUUAUUGGGUUUAAAGGGUGCGUAGGCGGGCUUUUAAGUCAGCGGUAAAAAUUCGGGGCUCAACCCCGUCCGGCCGUUGAAACUGGGGGCCUUGAGUGGGCGAGAAGAAGGCGGAAUGCGUGGUGUAGCGGUGAAAUGCAUAGAUAUCACGCAGAACCCCGAUUGCGAAGGCAGCCUUCCGGCGCCCUACUGACGCUGAGGCACGAAAGUGCGGGGAUCGAACAGGAUUAGAUACCCUGGUAGUC